GAUGAACGCUGGCGGCGUGCCUAAUACAUGCAAGUCGAGCGAACAGAUAAGGAGCUUGCUCCUUUGACGUUAGCGGCGGACGGGUGAGUAACACGUGGGUAACCUACCUAUAAGACUGGGAUAACUUCGGGAAACCGGAGCUAAUACCGGAUAACAUUUGGAACCGCAUGGUUCUAAAGUGAAAGAUGGUUUUGCUAUCACUUAUAGAUGGACCCGCGCCGUAUUAGCUAGUUGGUAAGGUAACGGCUUACCAAGGCAACGAUACGUAGCCGACCUGAGAGGGUGAUCGGCCACACUGGAACUGAGACACGGUCCAGACUCCUACGGGAGGCAGCAGUAGGGAAUCUUCCGCAAAGGGCGAAAGCCUGACGGAGCAACGCCGCGUGAGUGAUGAAGGGUUUCGGAUCGUAAAACUCUGUUAUUAGGGAAGAACAAACGUGUAAGUAACUGUGCACGUCUUGACGGUACCUAAUCAGAAAGCCACGGCUAACUACGUG
rnacentral:rRNA from 1 species